CCUACGGGCGGCAGCAGUGGGGAAUAUUGGGCAAUGGGCGCAAGCCUGACCCAGCAACGCAGCGUGCAGGAAGAAGGCUUUCGGGUUGUAAACUUCUUUUCUCAGGGACGAAGCAAGUGACGGUACCUGAGGAAUAAGCUACGGCUAACUUCGUGCCAGCCGACGAGGUAAUACGUAGGUGGCAAGCGUUAUCCGGAUUUACUGGGUGGAAAGGGCGUGUAGGCGGGGACGCAAGUCUGAGGUGAAAACCACGGGCUCAACCUGUGACCUGCAUUUGAAACUGUGUUGCUUGAGUACUGGAGAGGCAGACGGAAUCCCUAGUGUAGCGGUGAAAUGCGUAGAUAUUAGGAGGAACACCAGUGGCGAAGGCGGUCUGCUGGACAGCAACUGACGCUGAGGCGCGAAAGCGUGGGGAGCAAACAGGAGUAGAUACCCCAGUAGUC
rnacentral:rRNA from 1 species